AGUCAUUACUCUAACCUUUCGAGGAGGAGGAUGCCGAAGGCAGGGCUGAUGACUGGGGUGAAGUCGUAACAAGGUAGCCGUACCGGAAGGUGUGGCUGGAUCACCUCCUUUUAGGGAGACCAUCUGAGAAACUACCGAACCUAAACAAGAGGUAGCAAUCAGUAUCCCUGGUCGUUCGAAAAAUAGAUGUCAAAGCUUUCAAACUAUUAACUGGUUCGGGAAAUGGGCUAUUAGCUCAGUUGGUUAGAGCGCACCCCUGAUAAGGGUGAGGUCCCUGGUUCAAAUCCAGGAUGGCCCACCUGGAAAAAAAGUAAUGAAUUUGAAGUAAUGAGUCAGGAAUAAAAAUUCAGGAUUCAGGGUCUAAAAAAUCAGAACUUGCUUAGUGGGGGUAUAGCUCAGUUGGUAGAGCGCCUGCCUUGCACGCAGGAAGUCAGCGGUUCGAGUCCGCUUACCUCCACUCUCACUAGCUAUGUAGCUUAGCUAAGUAUUAAAAUACAACCAAAACCAAGAACAGCACAGAAAUCAGCACCCAGACUCUUACAAGAAAGUCGGAAUGCUGGAGUCUAGAACUCUAGUCAGAACCUUGAAAACUGCAUAGAAAUUAAGUCAUCAUCAAGCUUAGUAAGUAAUCCGAUGCGUCGGAAAAGCUUUUAAGCAGACCACCAUCAAAGCAGAAAGUGGUCAAGUUACAAAGGGCUAACGGUG
rnacentral:misc_RNA from 1 species